CCAGACCUGACUGCUAUCGGAUUGAUACUAAGCCAUGCGAGUCUUUGCAGUAAUGCAAGGCGGACUGCUCAGUAACACGUAGUCAACUUAACCUAUGGAUGGGUAUAACCUCGGGAAACUGAGAAUAAUUCCCAAUAGAUCAUUUAUCCUGGAAUGGUUAGUGAUUGAAAUGAUUCGUCGCCAUAGGAUAGGACUGCGGCCUAUCAGCUUGUUGGUGAGGUAAAGGCCCACCAAGGCUAUUACAGGCACGGGCUCUGAGAGGAGAAGCCCGGAGAUGGGUACUGAGACACGGACCCAGGCCCUAUGGGGCGCAGCAGGCGAGAAAACUUUGCAAUGUGCGAAAGCACGACAAGGUUAAUCCGAGUGGUUUCUGCUAAAGAAAUCUUUUGCCAGUUCUAAAAAUACUGGUGAAUAAGGGGUGGGCAAGUUCUGGUGUCAGCCGCCGCGGUAAAACCAGCACCUCAAGUUGUCAGGAGGAUUAUUGGGCCUAAAGCAUCCGUAGCCGGCUCUGUUAGUUUUCGGUUAAAUCCAUAUGCUCAACAUAUGGGCUGUCGGAAAUACUGCAGAGCUAGGGAAUGGGAGAGGUAGGCGGUACUCGGUAGGAAGGGGUAAAAUCCUUUGAUCUAUUGAUGACCACCUGUGGCGAAGGCGGUCUACCAGAACAUGUUCGACGGUGAGGGAUGAAAGCUGGGGGAGCAAACCGGAUUAGAUACCCGGGUAGUCCCAGCUGUAAACGAUGCAGACUAGAUGAUGCAUUAGCAUAUAGCUAGUGCAGUGUCUCAGGGAAGCCGUUAAGUCUGCCGCCUGGGAAGUACGUACGCAAGUAUGAAACUUAAAGGAAUUGGCGGGGGAGCACCACAAGGGGUGAAGCCUGCGGUUCAAUUGGAGUCAACGCCGGA
rnacentral:rRNA from 1 species